UACGGAGGGUGCAAGCAUUAAUCGGAUUUAUUGGGCGUAAAGGGCGCGUAGGCGGAUUUGUAAGUCAGGUGUGAAAUUCCGAAGCUCAACUUCGGAGCUGCACUUGAAACUGUAAAUCUAGAGGGUUGGCGGAGAAAAUGGAAUUCCACAAGUGGCGGUGAAAUGCGUAGAUAUGUGGAAGAACACCGGUGGCGAAGGCGGUUUUCUAGCUUAUUCCUGACGCUGAGGCCCGAAAGCAAGGGGGAGCAAACAGGAUUAGAUACCCUGGUAGUCCUUGCCGUAAACGAUGUAUACUUGAUGUAGUUGGGCUCAACCCCGACUGUGUCGUAGCUAACGCGAUAAGUAUACCGCCUGGGGAGUACGCUCGCAAGGGUGAAACUC
rnacentral:rRNA from 1 species